rnacentral:misc_RNA from 1 species
GAUGAAGAACGCAGCGAAAUGCGAUAAGUAAUGUGAAUUGCAGAAUUCAGUGAAUCAUCGAAUCUUUGAACGCACAUUGCGCCCGCCAGUAUUCUGGCGGGCAUGCCUGUCCGUGCGUCAUUUCAACCCUCGAACCCCUCCGGGGGGUCGGCGUUGGGGACCUCGGGAGCCCCUAAGACGGGAUCCCGGCCCCGAAAUACAGUGGCGGUCUCGCCGCAGCCUCUCCUGCGCAGUAGUUUGCACAACUCGCACCGGGAGCGCGGCGCGUCCACGUCCGUAAAACACCCAACUUCUGAAAUGUUGACCUCGGAUCAGGUAGGAAUACCCGCUGAACUUAAGCAUAUCAAUAAGCGGAGGA